CAGAAUGUCUAGUCACUUUGACCUACAGCAAGAAGUUAGGAGUAACCAGGGCAGAUGCUCCUGCAAACAGCUGGGCCAGCCCCAGCGCAGCCACUGUGUAGCGGAAUUGCAUUCAAGCCUGUGAAACAAGGAGCAAUCUGGGGAUAAGGAACACAGGAGGGUUUUUCUCUUUCUUUUUCUUUUUCGGUUUUCCAGAAGGACCUGAGACCUGCUCGGCCGGCUGGCAGAAUCUCUUACAAACUUAGCAGAAUCUUUUUGUCCAAAGAAAAGGAUAGCCACUGACUACCUCUGGAGCAGCUGCUGCUGGAAACCAGGCUCAUGGCAACCUACUGCUGAGAUGUUCUUAUCAAACAUACAGAGGCUGACUCCCCAUCUUAAGGGACAUGGCAACGGAGAACUCGGUGAACAGCUCUCCAAGGAAGACACCUUUGGUUUGAGAUAGGGUCUAGGGCCACACACUGGAGC
rnacentral:lncRNA from 1 species